rnacentral:lncRNA from 1 species
ACCAAGAAAACAUCUAGCUAAUCAUUCCUUUCUUCCUAGUCUUCUUUGUGAAUUAUCCAACACAUAAAUUAUCUUCAUCUUCUCUUCUUCAUGAGUAACUAUUUUUGUGCAAAUUCUAAACUUCCAGCCACGAGUGCACGUGUUUGGAGGUGCUGUGGAAUCUUGGAGAGCGACCAGCCUUAACGAUUUACACCUAGUCGGGCCGAAAUCGUUUUCAAGGCAUGGCUUGCCACGACACAAUAUUUUUGGUAAGUUGUAGUCUUAUUUCCUUGUUGUUUGUAGUCAAUAUUAUCUACUCCUUUUUCUUACAAUUUCUCGCUUGUCCAAUUUCUUAAAUCGAAACUCUAGUAUGAGAUAGCUUCAAUUUGUACUUUCAUAUAACAAUCAAAGCAGAAAAGAGGAGCAAAGAAGAAGGCAGUGCGAAAUGUAAUUCCAAGAAUAAGAUAAGAUAAAAACUCACCAAAGAAAGUUCCAAACAAGAUAGGAUCACUAUGAAAGAGAGUGACGCUUACCACUAAAAACUAUUCUGACUUAUCAACUUUAGGAACUUGACAUCGACCGAUAGUUGUUUUCUUGAGGAAAAGAAGAAGAAAAAGAAAUAUUAGAGCUAAGGUUGAAGUAUUUCUAAAGGAAAAAUUAUACCUUCUCUUAUUUUAUUUUCUAUGUUUUUAGACAUUUUGCAACAAAUGAAAAAUUAGGUUAGACAUUUUCUGAUUUGCGAAAGUCUAAACAAUUCCUAUCAAUUUAGUUAUCCAAAAGUCAUUCAAUGAACGGACAGAUUGAAACUAUAAGGCAAUUAAUCGUAUAAAAAGAGAAAGAGAAAUCAGAAAAUGCAAUAUAUUAUACAAAUAUUCACAGUUCCACUUAAAGAUUCGAAUGUGAUUUCGAAUAUAUAUGUGCAAAGUGCUUUUUGUUUGGCUCCCUGUUAUUUUUACCGAGGACACUAUUAGAGCAAAAGUUAACCUUGCUGUUUUGACCGAUUCUUUAGUUAGUAGUUAGGAUUUUGUUGUUUUUUUAUUUUCUCAAAUAAAUUUUUUUAUUCAAGAAGUUUAUUUACCAAGUGAGUAAUUAGUUUAGGGAAUUAAUUUUUCACUCUUGUAUUUAAGAGUUGCUUUGAUUCAAUAAAUAUAUCAACUUUUUAUGUCUCUCUUGUUCAUAUAUGAUAUCAAGAGCAUCAACAAACUCUAAUAAGUAAGAUUCUAUCUUUUUUUCUCUCCUAUCCAUCCUUCACAAAUGGCCAACAUCCCUGGAGUUGUUAAUGCUAAUAACAAUAGUGGUGUGAUAGUCGUCCAAUUUAAUACUGCAUCACAAUUGCCAAUAAAAUUACAAGGCAAUCAUAACUUUGCAACUUGGAAGGAGCAAUUUUUCAUGCUUAUACAUGGUCAUGAUUUUUAUAGUGAUAUAGAUGGGUCUACUCCUGCUCCAUGUUGCACUAUCACAACUAGCACAGUUCUUAGUGUCAAUCCUACAUCUGAUCUUUGGUUUCGUCAAGACCAGCACCUUCAAAAUGCACUUAUGGCAUCUGUUGAUCCAACAAUUGCCACUACUGUUGCAGCUGCUAACUCAAAAAAAAUAUGGGAUGCAUUGCACACUGCAUAUGCUAACAAGUUCCCAAACAAGAAUUUUCAGUCUUCACGAUCGACUUGCGUGGCUCACAAAAGACUUCCAACCAAUCACUAAAUAUUUACAAAAUAUUCGAUCCAUGGCUAACGAGCUCUCUACUGCUUGUGCCCCCAUCACAAACUAUGAACUCAUUGUGAAGAUUCUGAGUGGUCUAGGACCAGAGUUUCGUGACAUUUCUGCUGCAAUUUGCGCUCCUGAUCAAAGGCAAACCUACACAGGAACUUGGGGGUCACGGGAACCCGUUAGCCUCCGCAAAAACCUUGUAUAUAUAUUUUAUACAUAGCUGUAUAAAUUUUGGUAACCCCUUAAAAAUUUUCUUGGCCCCCUUAUUAACGAAAGUUGGACGGGAGAGAUGGUCUUGUUGAUAACUAAUUUUUUCUUGUAUUUUUUUUUCACCCAAAAUACCUUCAAAAUAGUAUAUGUAUGUGUAUAUAUAAGCAUGCAUGGAAGUUUUGAUACUUUUUCUUAAUUUUAAAGAUUUUUAAAAGUCAGUUUACUGCCUAAUUUUGACAAUAUAAAGGCCAAGAUUAUUUCCAAAUUAUUAUUUUUGGUAAAUAAUGUGUUCCAUUCUGAUAUUUAUAAUAAAAUAUAAUUUAUGUAAUUUUUUCAUAUUUUCUACAGAUUUAUUUGCAUUUUUUCAAAGCUAAUUGCAUAAAAUUGCAAUCAUAGCCUAUUUUGCAAUUAACUAUGUUUCAUAGUAAUAAAAUUAUUUCUAAUAUUUUUAGAUUAAUAUUUACACGUUAUUAACUAGUUCUAUGCUUUCAAUUUUUCUUUUUAAACUAUUUGAAUUAUUUUAUAAAAUAAUUGGGAAGAAUGGGCUAUUUAAAUUAUAGCCAGAUUUUGUUUAAAAUGUAGCCCAAAUUCCACCCCAUGUCAACCCCAUUUUGGAACCCAGUUAUACGACCCAAUUUCACGACCCUAGCUCACCAAUCAUGAACCUAUCAUAACGGCACCCAGUCUUCGCAAGUAGGUAAGCCUGACACACUACGGAAAUUCAACAAUCUUUGCGGGAACGAUAAAUAGAAUAUAAAUAGCAUAAGAUAAUGUAUAGAGUGUCGCAUGGCACAUACAUGUCGACUCAAAAUAACGUAAAAAUCCUUCCAAGGCCCAGAAACCCACGGGUAACACAGGUUAAGAGUAAAGUAUAACACACGGCUCUAACAUCCGGGAGUAUCUACAACAAGCGAGUACAUGAAUGAAACCACUAGCUAAGGGGGAACAGAAGGAGACUCUUCGGCUAUGCGAACGCGGCAGAUGCAUACCUUAUAUCUCCGAGUAUAGCUCCUAAUCACUGACAGCGCGGCCCAUCAAGAGUACUUGGAUCUGCAUAACAAAAGUGUGCAGAAGAGUAGCAUAAGUACACCACAGCGGUACUCAAUAAGAGCCAAGCCUAACCUCGAUGGUGUAGUGAUGAGGAAGGUCGAGGCCCUACUGCGAAGAGCAUAAGAAAUAAUGAAAAAAUAACCAAAAACAGUAGAUAAUGAAGUAAAACCCGAAUAUCUAACAAGGCAGUAAUUAAAACAGAAUGGCUACAAGUACAGACUACGAACACAAAGCAAAUUACUCAAAAGUCAGGGGCUCUACAUGGAGCUCUGGGAAUCGAACCCGCAGUCCAUCGCCACAUGAAGCUCCAGGAAUUGAACCCGCAGUCCACCUUAUCAAUAUCUGAGGUUUUACGGGAAUGAACCUGCAGUCCUUCAUACCAAUAUCAGAGGAUCUCUGGGAAUUGAACCCGUAGUCCUUUAUACCAAUAACAGAGGAUCUCCGGGAAAUCAACCCGCAGUCCUUUAUACCAAUAACAGAGGAUCUCCGGGAAUUGAACCCGUAGUCCGUCAUAUCAAUAUAAGAUGAUCUCCCGGGAAUUAAACCCGUAGUCCGUCAUACCAAUAACAGAGAGAUCUCCCUAGAAUCGAACCCGUAGUCCCAAACGUAAACACUUCACACAACAAGUAAAUAUUUAACAGAAGGAAACCAAAUAUAGCAACAAUGUACAGUUCUAGGGCCUAGCAUGCACACAAAGAGGGCAGGCAUUUGCAAAUUUAGUCAGAUAGAGCAAUUUAAAUUACUAACAUGCUUUUUACUAAGAUAAGCAAGUAAAAUAUCAUUUUUUUACAGUUAAAUACAUGAAGAAACUCGGCCUAAAUAAGUCAAGUAAGGUGAAUUUUCAAUAAAUAGCACAAGUACGCGCCCGUCACCUCGCACACAAGGCCUUUAAAUAACAAUUAAGAUAUCCUAAGGGGAGAGGUCCCCCGCACAAGGUUAGACAAGCCACUUACCUCGAAUUGGUACAAAACCGCUAAGAAACAAUGCCCUUGCCACGAGUAUCCGACUCCGAGUGGCCCAAAUCAAUUCAAACCAAUUACAUAUUAUAAAUAACAUCACAAGUAACUAACUACACUGUUAAAAUUAAAGCUAAAGCGCGAAAAUAGUUGAAAUGACCAAAAUUUCCCUCAAGCCAACGUCUCGGAAUCGAUUAAUUUUUAUAUUUUCAGAAGCCUCGUACUCUCACGAGUCUAACCAUAUAAAAAACUCCCAAAUCGGAGGUUAAAUGCCCCUUCAAAUCAUCAAAGUUAAGUCUAAGAACUUUACCCCAAUUUUGAUUCAAAAUGCAAAAUUAAAGCUUGUAUUCGAGAUUAGAUUAGCGGGUAAUAGUCAUAAAGGAUCAAGGAAUCAUUACCCAAUGUUUUCCUCUUAAAAUCCCUCGAAAAUCUCCCAAAAUCGAGCUCUCUAGCUUGAUUUUGAUGAAAGUGGAAGAAACCUCGUUUUUGAAAUAUUAAUGUCUGCCUAGGUAUUUAGUGAAUCGUGAUCGUGAAGAGAGAGACACGAUCCCAAAGAGUAAAUUAGAGGCUUCCAAGAAAAACCCUACGCGAUCGCGGAAAAGAGCAUGCGAUCGCGGACGAGGAUGAAAAGGCCUUACGCGAUCGCGUAUGAGGGAACUCGAACGCGAAGAGGGGAGAAGUAGAGUUACGCGAUUGCAAACCAAUCCUUGCGAUUGUGAUUAAGUAAUUUGGGACCCUACCAGAUUGGUCUAUGCGAUCGCGUGAAAUGGGACGCGAUCGCGAAGAAGGAAAAACAGGCCUGCAACAGCUAAAGAAUCUACAACGUUUUCAACUCCAAAAAUGCUCCGUUGAGAAUCUGAAACACACCCGAGGCCAUCGGGACCUCAACCAAACCUACGGGCAUAUCCCAUAACGCCAUUCAAACUUGUACCAAUCCUUAACCACCUAAAACAACACCGGAAACUCGAAUUAAUCAAUGAUUUGAACUUAAAAACUUCAAAAUUUAACCAAACUCUCUUUUGAUUCAAAACCUAACCAAAACACGUCCGAUUGACCUGAAAUUUUGCACGCACGUCCAAAAUGACAUGACGAUGCUACAACAACUUUCGAAAUUCCGUUCGGACCCUCGGAUCAAAAAAUCACUAUCGGAUCGGAAACUUCAAAAUUCAAACUUUCGGCAUUUAUAGCCUAAAUGAGCUACAGACAUCCAAAGUACAUUCCGAACACGCUCCUAACCUCGAAAUCACCUAAUGGAGCUAAUGAAACUAUCAGUUUUCCAUUUCGAGGUCGUCUUGACAUUGUUAUGAUUAUGGACCAUUUUCCGACACUUAAGCUCUCAUUUAGGGACUAAUGUCCCAAAACACUCCGAAUUCUAUUACCGAACAUCCCGGAAAACCAAAAUAGCAGAAAUGAAAUUAGGGGAAGCAGUUAAUGGGAGAAAUGGGGCAUAAAUUCCAAAGACGACCGGUCGCGUCAUCACAUCCUCCUACACUUAAACAUUUGUUCGUCCUCGAACGAGCAUAAAGAACAUGCCUGAAGUAGCAAAAAGAUGAGGGUAUCGGCUGCGCAUAUCCCGCUCGGUCUCCCAAGUCGCCUCUUUGGCAGACUGACCCCGCCACUGAACCUUUACUGAAGCUAUAUCCUUUGACCUAAGCUUUCCAACCUGUCUAUCCAAUAUUGCCACUGGCUCCUCAACAUAGUACAAGUCAUUGUCCAACAGGACUGAAGUGAACUCCAACACGUGAGACAGGUCACCAUGAUACCUCCGAAGCAUCAAAACAUGAAAUACGGGAUGAACCCCGGCCAAACUGGGAGGUAAAGCAAGCUCAUAAGCAACCUUCCCAACCUGCUUCAAAAUCUCAAAUUGACCAAUGUACCUCGGGCUCAACUUUUCUUUCUUUCCAAACCUCAUAACGCCAUUCAUAGGCGAGACCCGAAGCAAAACCCGCUCACCAACCAUAAAUGAAACAUCAUGAACCUUCCGGUCUGCAUAAAUUCUCUAUCUGGACUAAGCCGCAUGGAGUAUAUCCUGAAUCACCUUAACCUUAUCUACCGCAUCCUGAACCAAAUCAGUGCCCAAUAACCUGGCCUUGCCCGGCUCGAACUAACCCAUCGAGGAUGUGCAGCUCCUACCGUAUAAGGCCUUAUAAGGCGCCAUGUGAAUACUGGAUUGAUAACUGUAGUUGUAUGCAAACUCCGCCAAUGGCAGUCCUACCAUAUAUGGCCUCAUAAGGCGCCAUAUGAAUAUUGGACUGAUAAUUGUUGUUGUACGCAAACUCAGCCAAUGGAAAGAACUAAUCCCAAGACCCUCUAAACUCAAUUGCGCACGCAUGAAGCAUAUCCUCAAGAAUCUAAAUAGUGCGCUCGGACUGUCCGUCCGUUUGAGAGUGAAAAGUUGUACUCAUGGUCACCCUAGUACCCAACUCAUACUGGACGGCUCUCCAGAACCGUGAUGUAAACACUGAACCCCUGUACGAGAUUAUAGAAACUUGAAUGCCAUGCAGACGGACAAUCUCCCUGAUAUAAAUCCCUGCUAACCGCUCCGUUGAGUAAAAAGUGCACACUGGAACGAAAUGUGCGGACUUGGUCAGCCGAUCCACAACAACCCAAAUAGAAUCAAACUUCCUCUCCGUUAGAGGGAGACCAGUCCAAAAGUCCAUAGUGAUAUUCUCCCAUUUCCACUCCGGAAUCUCCAUCUGGUGGAGUAACCCUCCCGGUCUCUGAUGCUCAGCCUUCACCUACUAACAGUUGAGGCAUCUAGCUACAAACUCUACUAUGCCAUUCUUCAUCCGCCUCCACCAGUAAUGGUGCCGCAGAUCCUGAUACAUCUUCGCGGCACCUGGAUGGAUGGAAUACCGCGAGCUAUGCGCCUCGGUCAAUAUCAACUCCUGAAUAUCAUCAAUGUCGGGCACACAAAUACGACCCUGCAUCCUCAAUACCCCAUUAUCUCCAACAGUAACAUCCUUAGCAUCCAUAUGUUGAACGUGUCCCUGAGGACAAGCAAAUGAGGAUCAUCAUACUGUCGCUCCCUGAUUCAAUCAAACAAUGAAGACCGAGAAACCACACAGGCUAGAACCCGACUGGGCUCCGAAAGCUCCAAUCGCACGAACUGACUGGCUAAGUCCUGGACAUCCAUCGCCAUAGGCCUCUCAAAAGCUGGAAAAUAUGCCAAACUCCCCAAACUCUCACCCAGGCGACUCAAGGGAUCGGCUACCACAUUGGCUUUUCCCGGUUGAUAAAGAAUAGUAAUAUCAUAAUCCUUCAGUAGCUCCAACCAUCUCCUCUAGCGCAAGUUCAAAUCUUUUUGCUUGAACAAAUGCUGCAAACUUCGAUGAUCCGUAUAAAUCUUACAAGGCACACUAUACAAAUAAUGACGCCAGAUCUUUAAGGCAUGAACAAUAGCAGCUAAAUCAAGGUCAUGGACAGGAUAGCUCUUUUCAUGCAUCUUCAAUUGUCUGGAUAAGUAGGUAAUCACCCUACCGUCCUGCAUCAAUACCCCUCCAAUUCAAACUCGUGAGGCAUCACAAUAUACUGUAUAAGACCCCGAGCCAGUAGGCAAAAUCAGAAUAGGGGGUGAAGUCAAAGCCGUCUAGAGCUUUUGGAAGCUCGCCUCACACUCAUCCUACCACUGAAAAGGAGCAUCAUUCUAGGUUAAUCUAUUCAUAGGGGCUGCAAUUGACGAGAACCCCUUCACAAAACGAUGGCAAUACCCCACCAGGCUAAGGAAAUUGCGGAUCUCUAUAGCUGAGGAGGGCCUGGGCCAACUCUGCACGACCUACACCUUCUUCGGAUCUACCCGAAUGCCCUCACUCAAUACCACGUGGCCUAGAAAUUCCACGGAACUCAACCAAAACUCAUAUUUUGAAAACUUUGCGUAUAUUUUCUUUUCUUUUAGGGUAUGAAGCACUAUCCUCAGGUGCUGCUCAUGAUCUUCCCGGCUCCGGGAGUAUACAAGAAUAUCAGGCCUAGAAAUUCCACGGAACUCAACCAAAACUCAUAUUUUGAAAACUUUGCGUAUAUUUUCUUUUCUUUUAGGGUAUGAAGCACUAUCCUCAGGUGCUGCUCAUGAUCUUCCCGGCUCCGGGAGUAUACAAGAAUAUCAUCUAUGAAAACAAUUACAAAUGAGUCGAGAUAGGGCCUGAAUACAAUGUGCAUCAAAUGCGUAAAGCUGUUAGGGCGUUGGUCAGCCCAAAUAACAUGACAAGGAACUCGUAAUGACCACGCUGACUCCUGAAAGCAGUCUUCGGGAUAUCCGGCUCGCGAAUCUUUAGCUGGUGAUAACCUGAGCGCAAAUCAAUCUCAGAAAACACAUGUGCGCCCUGAAGCUGGUCAAAUAGAUCAUCGAUACGAGGCAAAGGAUAUUGGUUCUUCACUGUAACCUUGUUCAAUUGACAAUAAUCGAUACACAUGCGCAUAGAGGGAUCAUCAAUACGAGGACCAUUCUUUUUUCUUCACAAACAAUACAGGACCACCCCAUGGUGAAACACUAGGUCGAAUAAAACCCUUAUCAAGCAAUUCCUGUAAUUGAUUCUUCAACUCCUUCAAUUCAGGAUAGCCAUAAGGUAUGGAGGAAAAGAUAUGGGCUGAGUGCCCGGCAAAAAAUCAAUACCAAAAUCAAUUUCCCGAUCAGGCGGCGCGCUCGGAAGAUCAGUUAGGAACACAUCGGCGAAAUCCCGUACUACUGGGAUAGAAUCAACAGAAAGGGUAUCAACACUGACAUCUCUCACGUAGGCUAAAUACGCGGCACACCCCUUCUCAACCAUACGUUGAGCUUUAAGAAAGGAUAUAACUCUACUAGGAGUGUGAUCAAAAGUACCACUCCACUCGAUACGAGGAAUACCUGUCAUAGCCAACGUCACGGUCUUAGCGUGACAAUAUAGAAUAGCAUAAUGGGGCGACAACCAGUCCAUGCCCAAGAUAAUGUAAAAGUCGACCAUAUCAAGUAAUAAAAGAUCUUCCCUGGUAUCAAUACCACGAACAGUAACCAAACAUGACCGAUACACAUGGUCCAAAACAAAAAAAAUCUCCCACGGGAGUGGAAACAUAAACAGGAGAGGUCAAGUCUCUCGAAGUGUACCCAAAUGCGGAGCAAAAUAAGAUGACACAUAAGAAUAAGUAGAGAAUGGAUCGAAUAAAACUGAUGCCCCUCUGUGACAAACCAAAAUAAUACCUACAAUAACAUAAUCAGAGGCGACAGCCUUGACAAAAUCAGGAAUGGCAUAAAAUCUGGCUUGGACCUACCUCGAGGGCGGCCUCUAUCUCCCCGAUCCCCUCCUCUGGAUGGCUGGGCAAGUGGGGUGGCAGCUGGAGCUGGAACAAUGGCCUGCUAACCCUGUGGAACAUGCUGGAGCUGUGGAGUCUGAGAAGGCACACCCCUGCCACGUCUAGGGCACUCUCUAACCAAGUGACGGGUGUCCCCGCACUCAUAACAAGCUCUAGGAGGGCGCAGCGACUCUGACUGGAUCCACCCCUGCUGGACUGACCUCUGGAGGUGCCCUGCGUAGGAGGCACACUAGAAACCGGGGGUGCAUAGUAAGGCUCCUGAGAUCUGGAAGGAGCUGGAGCACUGCUNNNNNNNNNNNNNNNNNNNNNNNNNNNNNNNNNNNNNNNNNNNNNNNNNNNGGAUCCACCCCUGCUGGACUGACCUCUGGAGGUGCCCUGCGCAGGAGGCACACUAGAAACUCGGGGUGCAUAAUAAGGCUCCUGAGAUCUCGGAGGAGCUGGAGUACUGCUGGAUGAAGGAAUGGUUGAGUGAACUGGGUGACCCGUAUAGCUCCUACCAUGACGUCCUACUCUUAAAGUACGGGUACCAGAGAAAUGACCAGACUCUCGAGACCUCUUAGCUUCUCUCUCCUCUCGCUCUCUACCAUCCAUACCCUCUAUCCUCCUGGCUAUGCUCACCACCUACUGAUAGGGUAUAUCCAUCUCAAACUAUCGCGCCAUGCCAGACCUGAUGGAAGGAAUAAGGCCCUCAAUAAACCUGCGAACCCUCUCACGAACAGUAGCCACCAAAGCAGGCGCAUGCCUGGCCAACCUAGUGUAACAGAUGGCAUACUGAGAAAUAGUCAUAGGGCCCUGGAGAAAGUUCUCAAACUCCGUUUGCCAUGCAUCUCAGAGGCUCUGGGGAACAAACUCCCUCUGAAACAUAUCUGAAAACUGGGUCCAAGUUAGGGAGGCAGCCUCAUCCGGACUGUCUGGCUCAAAGGUGCACCACCUGUCAUAGGCGGCUCCCCGAAGCUGGAAAGCUGCAAAGGAAACCCCACUCGAAGAAGUAAUACCUAUGGUGCGAAAAAUGCAGUGACAAUCCUCCAAAAACCCCAAAGCAUCAUUUGUAGCUAGUCCACUGAAAAUAGGAGGGUGAUACUUCUUGAACCGCUGCAAUCUACGCUGCUCGUCCUCCGAAGAAGGUGCCCCAUCCUCGGGCUGAGCUGGUACUGCAGGCUGGGAGGGAAUAACAUUUGGAAUUGGUCCCAUGUGCACCCUCUGCUAUGGGGUGUGGGCUGCGGGAGUCUGGGCUCCUCCCCCGGCCUGGGACAUAGCUGCAGGAAGUGGAAGUAACUCUGCCUGCGAUAGAGUGGUGUACAUACUCAUAAACUGUGCCAAUGCCUCCUGAACAGCUGGAGUAGUAGUGGUUGUGGGCGUCUCUGAUGCUUGAGUUCUGACUGGGUCUGCUUGUGGAACCUCGGCGGCUGCUCGCGCAGGUGCUCUGGCUGCACUCCGCGACUUCCACAACCCCUACCCCGGCCCCUGCCCCUAGCUGCUGCCGGAGGGGGUGCGGGAGUCUGAUCGUCCCGGGUCGUGCGUGUCCUCACCAUCUGUGAGAGAAUAGGAAACAGUAGUUUAGAAUCGAGGUAAAAAACAUUGCAUGACGAGAAUUCAAAUGAAGUGAAGAUUUUCCUAAACAGUUACAUAGCCUCCCGUAGAUAAGUACAGACGUCUCCGUAUCGAUCAGCGAGACUCUAAAUAACCGNNNNNNNNNNNNNNNNNNNNNNNNNNNNNNNNNNNNNNNNNNNNNNNNNNNNNNNNNNNUUCCGUACCGAUCAGCGAGACUCUAAAUAACCGGCCUGUGUCCCGUGACUCCUAUCAACUUAGAGCUCUGAUACCAACUUGUCACGACCCUAGCUCACGAAUCGUGAACCUGUCAUGACGGCACCCACUCUUCGCGACUAGGUAAGCUUGACACACUGCGGAAAUUUAACAAUCUUUGCGAAAAUGAUAAAUAGAACAUAAAUAGCAUAAGAUAAUGUUUAGAAUGCCGCCUGGAACAUACAUGUCGACUCAAAAUAACAUAAAAAUCCUCCAAGACCCGGGAACCCACCGGAAACACAAGCUAAGAGUAAAGUGUAACACACGGCUCUAACAUCCCGGAGUAUCUGCAACAAGCGAGUACAUUAAUGAAACCACUAGCUAAGGGGGAACAGAAGGAGACUCUUCGGCUCUGCGAACGCGGCAUAUGCAUACCUCAGAUCUUCGAGUAUAGCUCAUAAUCACUGACAGCGCACCCGAUCAAGAGUACCUGGAUCUGCAUAACAAAAGUGUGCAGAAGAGUAGCAUGAGUAGACCACAGCGGUAAUCAGUAAGUGCCAAGCCUAACCUCGAUGGAGUAGUGACGAGGAAGGUCGAGGCCAUACCGAGAAUAGCAUAAAAAAUAAUGGAAAAAUAAAUAAACGGUAGAUAAUGAAGUAAAACCCAAAUAUUUAACAAGGCAGUAAUUAAAACAGAACAGCUACAAGUACAGACUACGAACACAAAGCAAAUCACUCAACUAGGUCACCAAUGUCACGACCCUAGCUCACCAAUCAUGAACCUAUCAUGAUGGCACCUAGCCUUCGCAACUAGGAAAGCCUGACACACUGCGGAAAUUCAACAAUCUUUGCGGAAACGAUUAAUAGAAUAUAAAUAGCAUAAGAUAAUGUAUAGAGUGCCGCCUGACACAUACAUGUCGACUCAAAAUAACGUAAAAAUCCUCCAAGACCCAGAUACCCACGGGUGACACAGGAUAAGAGUAAAGUAUAACACAUGACUCUAACAUCCGGGAGUAUCUACAACAAGCGAGUACAUGAAUUAAACCACUAGCUAAGGGGGAACAGAAGGAGACUCUUCGGCUCUGUGAACACGGCAGAUGCAUACCUUAGAUCUCCGAGUAUAGCUCCUAAUCAGUGACAGCGCGGCCCAUCAAGAGUACUUGGAUCUGCAUAACAAAAGUGUGCAGAAGAGUAGCAUAAGUACACCAUAUCGGGACUCAGUAAGAGCCAAGCCUAACCUCGAUGGAGUAGUGACGAGGAAGGUCGAGGCCCUACUGCGAAGAGCAUAAGAUAUAAUGAAAAAAUAACUAAACAGUAGAUAAUGAAGUAAAACCCGAAUAUCUAUCAAGGCAGUAAUUAAAACAGAUUGAACCAGCAGUCCACCUUAUCAAUAUCUGAGGAUCUCCGGGAAUUGAACCCACAGUCCUUCAUACCAAUAUCAGAGGAUCUACGAGAAUUGAACCCGCAGUCCUUUAUACCAAUAACAGAGUAUCUCCGAGAAUUGAACCCGCAGUCCUUUAUACCAAUAACAGAGGAUCUCCGGGAAUUGAACGCGCAGUCCAUAUCAAUAUCAGAGGAUCUCCCGAUUAUUGAACCCGUAGUCCGUCAUACCAAUAACAGGGGGAUCUCCAGAGAAUCGAACCCGUAGUCCCAAACGUAAACACUUCACACAACAAGUCAAUUUUUAAUAGAAGCAAACCAAAUAUAGCAACAAUGUACAUGUCUAGGGCCUAGCAUGCUCACAAAGAGGGAAGGUAUUUGUAAUUUAGUCAGAUAGAGCAAUUUAAAUUACUAACAUGCUUUUUACUAAGCUAAGCAAGUAAAAUAUCAUUUUUAAUAGUUAAAUACACGAAGAAACACAGCCUAAAUAAGUCAAGUAAGGUGAAUUUUCAACAAAUAGGACAAGUACGCGCCCGUCACCUCGCGCACAAGGCCUUUAAAUAAAAAUUAAGAUAUCCUAAGGGGAGAGGUCCCCAACAAAAGGUUAGACAAGCCACUUACCUCGAAUUGGUACAAAACCGCUAAGAAACAAUGCCCUUNNNNNNNNNNNNNNNNNNNNNNNNNNNNNNNNNNNNNNNNNNNNNNNNNNNNNNNNNNNNNNNNNNNNNNNNNNNNNNNNNNNNNNNNNNNNNNNNNNNNNNNNNNNNNNNNNNNNNNNNNNNNNNNNNNNCUUCAAACCAAUUAUAUAUUGUAAAUAACAUCGCAAGUAACUAACUACACUGUUAAAAUUAAAGCUAAGGCGCAAAAAUAGGUGAAAUGACCAAAAUGGCCCUCAGGCCAACGUCUCGGAAUCGAAUAAUUUUUAUAUCUUCAGAAACCUCGUACUCUAUCGAGUAACUUCUUAUGUUCUUUUAUCGUUGUUGUAAUUUAUUUAUUUGGGCUGUAAUAAUUUGUAAGAAUAAUGGGGUAUAUAGUGAAUAUAGGGGGCUAUGCAUGUUUAAUUAGGGGAAUGGGUAGAAAACAUGCCUAUAGGCCUUUAUUUACUUAUUUGUGCAAUAGCUAUCAUGUUGGGACAUGCAUCUAUGCAUAUAGAAAUUAUGUUCUUAGUUCAUUCACUUUCAGUUUGUUAUUAUGUGUAUUCUCACAACUAUAAAUAAACAAUAAUCACUAAGUCAUUACCAUCACAUCUAGAUACCAUGUUUCUAGGACCUUUUGUGCAUUAGAUACCAUGCCUUUCGGACUUUACUUGUAACUAUUUGAACACUUCGUUAACUGGGGUUAAAAUUGGUUAAUAACUCGUCGUUAAAAUGGGAAACAUUGCAGGCUCACCAUUUUAAUAACGCCUAGGCAAGCCUUAGGCCGGAUAAAAACUGACAAAUCACCUUUAAGUUAUGUUCAAAUUAAUCCGCCUCUAUCUGAUCUCGUUUGUCUCUAAAGCUUUCUAAUUUUAUACAAACUUCUUCCCUAUUUUCAAACUAUCUAUGUAAGUGCUUCUAUUGUAUUUUUGUCCAGAACUGGAUUACUAUUUUUUUCAAAAUUUCUAAAUACUGUAUAAAUUUUGACAGCUAAUAACGUUCACUGUUUUCAUUACACUUCUGAAAUACUUUUCAUAUCUGUUCUUUUACUCUUCCUAUCCGUAAACUAUUUUACAAGGCAUUCCAUAACUGUUUCUAAAAGGAUUUCCGCAGUAUUUUCAAUAAAAUGCUACUGCUUUUUUCUUAAGGUCUGAACGCUUUCCUCACAACCCUUUUCUACAAACUCUUUUGCUUCUGUUUUAACUCGUACUACAGCUUCUGUUUUAACUUAUGCUACAGAUUUUUAAAAAAAAACUCUCUUCUAUAGACCUUAAAUGUGUUUGAGACGUGCUAAUUAGGUGUUCGCUUAUAGAGGGAUAUUUGAGCCGUUUAUAUGUUUUACGUGAUUCCCUUAUGUGCAAGUCCUAUUUGUUGUUGUAUGUCGCUUAGUAAUUUAGCCUUUAAACUUAAGGGUUCAGCCUAGUUCCUACCUUAUAGAAAUAAUGAUCCUAAAUUCCCUCUAGGAUCUAUAGAAUGGGACGGGUAAUAGCACGCAAUAAAUAUCCGUGACCAAUCCACAUGCUUAAAUAACCUCUACAGGGUGGGAAGGGUAGAAUAUGGAGAUGAUGACCGGUGCGCUAAUAUCAUAGGCGACCCCUCUUUGAGGAGUGUAUGCGGGAUAUUGUACGGAUGUGACCCAUAUCAUAGUCAAACCUAGGACCUCUUCCUCUUUUGCUUAUUUUUGCUUAAAUGUUUUCCUAAAGUAAUGAUUUCCUUCAAAUGAUUUCUCCCUUUGAGGAGUGUAUGUGGGGUAUUGUCCUGAUGUGAUCCAUUUUAUAGCCAAACAUAGGACCUCUUUCUCUUUUGCUUAUGUUUGCUUAAAUGUUUGCUUAAAGUAAUGAUUUCCCUCAAAUGAUUUCUCCCUUACCUUUGCUUUAAAUCCUUUAUGCCCUUUCCCUUUUAAAAAAAAAACUCUCAGGUUAUUUGAAUUCCUUAUAUGUGAUCCUUGUUUGUCUAUUUGCCUCUAUUCUUAUUAAAGUCACAAUGAAGCACAGUCGGGAACCACAUUAGUGGAUCUGGAGGGAUGCCUAACACCUUCCCCUCGAGAAAAUCUCAAGCCCCUACCCGAACUUUGGUUUUUCUUUCAAAAUACUUUCUUCCUCUUAAAAGUAUCCUAAUGCACUAUAAUCAUUAGGUGGCAACUCUUCAAAUUCGGUAACCCAAUUCCCAAACGGAAAUAAAGAGUUGUUUUACCCAUAAUGUCGUAAACUCGAUUUCGCUUUUGGAAAAAGGGGGCGUCGACAGCAUGGCGACUCUGUUGGGGAUUUAUUUAAUGCUUUUACCAUUACGUGCUUUGUGACUUCAUUGCUUUCUUUACUGUCUUUAUUUACUGCUUUAAUCACUUCUUCAUAAUUACUAACUUAAUUCUUCAUGUUUUUCUUUUUCCUUGAAUUGCUUUAUUGCAUUUCUGCCUUUAUUUCAUUUCAAUUCUGUUUUAAACAUCAAGCAUCUAUGGUAAUCAUUUUAUGAACGUGAAAAUACAUGUAUUUAUUUCAUUGUAGUAAUUGCAUCCUUCAACAUCAUUUUCCACUCGUGCCAAACAAAUCCUAUAGCAACGCAUAUAAUGAGUGGUUGCGCUCUUCAAAUAUUACAAACCCCUUAAAUUUGGCAAAGGCAUAUUUGCGGUAAAACCAGUCGAUCAAUGGUGUAGUCGACGGUUCCGUGCCUUUCCCUCUUGAGUUGUCCGCUCAAGGGUACCUUGUCCAGCACUUCAAAAGUAGAAACCUUAUUCCGUUAUACUGUUCAUACAUCUUGGUCAAACUUAGCCGAGUCAAUUAUGUCGUCCACAUAAUGACUCAUCAAGAUAGCCUAAACCAAAAGUCUAUCGGGUUUCCUUGAAACCCAAACGAAUGCCUUCACGUUGUGUGCAUUUAUUUGGAGAGCCAAACACCAUAGUGAUAAUUAUUGAUUUAAAUAGUAAGUCCGGUAGGUUAGGGCCUAACACUAUUUUGCAUAAAAUGAGGCACGAAGUCCUCAGAUUCGGAAUGGUAUCAAACAUUCACCCAAAGUUACUAAGCUGGUGAGAGGAUCUGCAUAGUAGUGAUCGAAUUCUUGUCUGCAAGCACUUAGGGAAUCUUCCUUCAUUACUUGAAGUUAGGCCAGAUACCAAGAUUGUGGAAGCUACUACUUUGCUUUGGGACAAUGAGCGGUCUGUCUUUUGCAUUGGGGAUAUUGACAUGACUCCAUUGUGGAAGUAAUUGGGGGUCUCGCCGGAAUUCCCUGGGAUAGCCCGGGUCUGCAUAUGCCAGAAAAUAGCGAUGGUAUGGAGGAAUAGAUAAGGGCUGAGUGCCCGGCAACAAAUCAAUACCAAAAUUAAUUUCCCGAUCGGGCGUCAAGCCCGGAAGAUCAGCUGGGACCACAUCGGGGAAAUCCGUACUACUGGGACAGAGUCAACAGAAAGGGUAUCAGCACUGACAUCUCUUACGUAGGCUAAAUACGCGGCACACCCCUUCUCAACCAUACGUUGAGCUUUAAGAAAGGAUAUAACUCUACUGGGAGUGUGAUCAAAAGUACCACUCCACUCGAUACGAGGAAUACCUUGCAUAGCCAGCGUCACGCUCUUAGCGUGACAAUCAAAAAUAGCGUAAUGGGGCGACAACCAGUCCAUGCCCAUGAUAAUGUCAAAAUUGACCAUAUCAAGUAAUAAAAGAUCUGCCCUGGUCUCAAAACCUCGGAUAGUAACCAAACAUGACCGAUACACAUGGUCCAAAACAAGAGAAUCUCCCACGGGAGUGGAAACAUAAACAGGAGAGCUCAAGUCUCUUGAACUGUACCCAAAUGCUGAGCAAAAUAAGAUGACACAUAAGAAUAAGUAGAGCCUUGAUCGAAUAGAACCGAUGCCCCUAUGUGACUAACCAAAAUAAUACCUAUAAUAAUAGAAUCCGAGGCGAUAGCCUCAACACAAUCAGGAAUGGCAUAAAAUCUGGCUCGGCCCUGCCUCGAGGGCGGCCUCUAUCUCCCCGAUCCCCGCAUCUGGCUGGCUGGGCAGGUGGGGUGGCAGCAAGAGCUGGAACAAUGUCCUGCUGACCCGGUGGACAUGCUCGGGCUGUGGAGUCUGAGAAGGCACACCCCUGCCACGUCUUGGGCACUCUCUAACCAAGUGACGGGUGUCCUCGCACUCAUAACAAGCUCUAGGAGGGCGCGGAGGCUGUGACUGACUGGAUCCACCCCUGCUGGACUGACCUCUGGAGGUGCCCUGCGCAGGAGGCACACUAGAAACCGGGGGUGCAUAAUAAGGCUCCUGAGAUCUCGGAGGAGCUGGAGUACUGCUGGAUGAAGGAAUGGCUGAGUGAACUGGGUGACCCGUAUAGCUCCUACCAUGACGUCCUGCUCCUAAAGUACGGGUACCAGAGAAAUGACCAGACUCUCGAGACCUCUUAGCCUCUCUCUCCUCUCGCUCUAUGGCAUGCAUACCCUCUAUCCUCCUGGCUAUCCCCACCACCUGCUGAUAUGGUAUAUCCAUCUCCAACUAUCGCGCCAUGCCAGACCUGAUGGAAGGAAUAAGGCCCUCAAUAAACCUGCGAACCCUCUCACGAACAGUAGCCACCAAAGCAGGCGCAUGCCUGGCCCUAUCCCCACCACCUGCUGAUAUGGUAUAUCCAUCUCCAACUAUCGCGCCAUGCCAGACCUGAUGGAAGGAAUAAGGCCCUCAAUAAACCUGCGAACCCUCUCACGAACAGUAGCCACCAAAGCAGGUGCAUGUUUGGCCAACCUAGUGUAACGGAUGGAAUACUCAGAAAGAGUCAUAGAGCCCUGGCGCAAGUGCUCAAACUCCGCGUGCCAUGCAUCUCGGAGGCUCUGGGAACAAACUCCCUCUGAUACAUAUCUGAAAACUGGGUCCAAGUCAGGGAGGCAGCCUCGUCCGGACUAUCUAGCUCAAAGGUGUGCCACCAGUCAUAGGCGGCUCCCCGUAGCCGGAAAGCUGCAAAGGAAACCCCACUCGAAGAAGUAAUACCCAUCGUGUGAAAAAUGCGGUGACAAUCCUCCAUAAACCCCAAAGCAUCGUUUGUAGCUAGUCCAUUGAAAAUAGGAGGGUCAUACUUCUUGAACCGCUCCAAUCUACGCUGCUCGUCCUCUGAAGAAGGUGCCCCAUCCUCGGGCUGAGCUGGUACUGCAGGCUAGGCAGGAAUAACAUCUGGAAUCGGUCCCAUAUUCACCCUCUGCUCUGGGGUGUGGGCUGCGGGAGUCUGGGCUCCUUCCCCAGCCUGGGACAUAGCUGCAGGAAGUGGAAGUAACCCUGCCUGCGAUAGAGUGGUAUACAUACUCAUAAACUGUGCCAAUGCCUCCUGAACAGCUGGAAUAGUAGUGGUUGUGGGCGUCUCUGGUGCCUGAGUUUUGACUGGGUCUGCUGGUGGCACCUCGGCGGCUGCUCGUGCAGGUGCUGUAGCUGCACCCCGCUUACGUCCACAACCCCGGCCCCUGCCCCUAGCUGCUGCAAGAGGGGGUGCGGGUUUCUGAUCGUCCCGGGUCGUGCGUGUCCUCACCAUCUAUGAGAGAAUAGGAAACUAUUGUUUAGAAUCGAGGUAAAAAACAUAGCAUAACGAGAAUUCAAAUGAAGUGAAGAUUUUCCUAAACAGUUACAUAGCCUCCCGUAGAUAAGUACAGACGUCUCCGUAUCGAUCAGCGAGACUCUAAAUAACCGGCAUGUGUCCCGUGACUCCUAUCAACCUAGAGCUCUGAUACCAACUUGUCACGACCCUAGCUCACAAAUCGUGAACCUGUCAUGACGGCACCCAGUAUCCGCACCAAGAUUCUCUCCCAACUGGCAGAGUCCAUACAUGGUUCAACGGGUUAAAACUGGAGGGGCCCUCAUCCUUGCAGAAAUGGACGGAGAAGUCUGGCCAAAACCGAUCAACUCAGAUGCAGUAAAGAGAUACUACAUAUAAUCAUUAUGCUUUUUCCUAUGAUGUAAUUUGAACUACGCCAGACCUGAUUCCCGUCUAAGAGGGGAUACGUAGUCAGCCCUAUGGGUUCGGUCACAUCUUUAAUAAAAUUCCAUUUCCCCUGCAUUUCGAACUGGGACAGAAUUUUGAGGAGGACCCUCAAAAUUUCGAAGUCAAUUUGUUAGCAUUCGCAUCGACAUCGACCUAGUAAACAAGGGCAAAAUUUUGAGGUCAAUCCGCUUUCAGUUAUUUAGCACCGCCGUCAACAGCAUCAUCCCAGUAAACUGGGGCAGAAUUUUGAGGAGGACCCUUAAAAUUCCGGAGCAAGCAAGGUUGUCGUAUCUUGAACCACGUUGCAGUUGUUGGUUCAUCAUAAACAAAACUAUCCUUUUCUUUACUUAUACAUGUAUAUAUUUGCAUCAUUUUUAUCAAAGUUUUGCAUAAAAUCAUUUGGGUCACUAUCGUUCAGCAACGCUACCCCAAAUGGUACAGGAAGGCACGAGCCGAGGGACACGAACUAACCUCCCCCUUUACAGAACUCAUGAUUUUUCUUUGGAUGCAGGAAUUCAGGAUACAAAUUGGCAAUGCAUGUGCCUUACAGAGUCGAAACCCCCAAAACAACUACUCAUUUCACAGAGUUUACUAUCUACACCCAGCAUUGCCCCAGCAGUCAUGAUAUCACAAAUUGCUCACCAGCUAAGGAACUCGCUACUAUUUUCUCCAUUACAUAUCUGCAUUUUGCAUAAGGCUAUUUUCUGUCUUCCGAGGUUAAGCUCUCCCUUCAUCUUGCAUAAGGCUAUCUUCUGCCUUCCGCGACUAAGCUCUGUCUCCAUCUGCAUUUUGCAUAAGGCUAUUCUCUUUCUUCCGAGGUUAAGCUCUACCUCCAUCUUUCAUUAGGCUAUCUGCUGCCUUUCGAGAUUAAGCUCUGUCUCCAUCUGCAUUUUGCGUAAGGCUAUUCUCUGCCUUCCGAGGUUAUGCUCUACCUCCAUCCUGCAUAAGGAAAUCUUCUGCCUUUCGAGGCUAGGCUCUAUCUCCAUCUGCAUUUUGCAUAAGGCUAUGAUUUGCCUUCCGAGGUUAAGCUCUACCUCUAUCUUGCAUAAGGCUAUCUUCUAUCUUUCGAGACUAAGCUCUGUCUCCAUAUGCAUUGCAUAAGGCUUCUCUGCCUUCUGAGGUUAAGCGCUGCCUCUUUUAUUUUGCAUUUGGAUGAAAAUCGCCACCCUGUUUCAUUUGGCUAAAAUAUCACCACCCUGCAUUUAAAUUCCCGCAUGGGCUAAAACAUUGCCACCCUUGCAUUCAUUUGGCUGAAAUAUAGCCACCUUCUCAUGGGCUGAAAUAUCGCCAACUUAUGCAAAGGCAUCAUAGUUCGGAGGCACCAUCUGCAUAGCCCGAGAACACCAUUUCAUGGCCUGUGAAUCUUUAAUUUUAUGCUCUUCAUAGCCGAGGACGUUAUUGUCUGAGGACGCCAUCAUAAUCACCCGAAGAAAGCACUCUUGGUCCAACAGAAACUUGCAUCACGUUUAAAUUAUGCAGUAUAUACGCAUAUCGUUCAUUCGCAGGUAUACCGGCUAGCUCACGACCGUCUCAGCAGGAGCGAUCCCGCUCCAUUCUCCGCAGCCUGUCUAAUAUCCAAACCCUUGUCAAAUCCCAAACCCCGCUGCAUCUAUCUUUUACAAACUUCCAUCGGCAUAUUCCGCCAAUGGUUCUUGAACAACAUAUGGCCUAAUUCCUGUAAGACCAGGGAUAUCCAGGCAGCUCAGAAACCGGAGCACGUUCAAAAUUCUCUUACAAUCGCAAUUCCGGUCAAAAUUGGCCAUCUUAUCUUUACCCGGCAACUCUUUCAUCCUUCUCGGGUAAAGAGGGGCAGCUGCUGAUACCCAAUUUUUUCCUAUAUUUGUUUUUGCACCCAAAAAAACCUUCAAAAUAUUAUAUUUAUGCAUAUAUAAGAAUUCCUUGAAGAUUUGGUAUUUUUCCUUAAUUUUUAAGAUUUUAAAAGUAAAUU